AUUAUUGCCUUUGUUUUUAAUUGUUUCACGGUUGGUCCACAGCACUGCAGGAGGUGGGAGACAUAAAAUUUCUUCUUACAAGAAGACUCCCAAGGUGGGUCAGAGUUGGCCAGAAGCCCAGAGAAGACUCUAUAGUCAAAUGCCAACUGGGGAAAUGUAGUAGGAUUAGCAGUCUGUUGGUCUCUGCAGUAUCUGUAAUGUCAGAUUAAAGGAACCAUCUGGAGGCUGGCAUUGGCCCCUUCCCUUCCCAGGUAUCCAAUCUGGUCCUAAAACACAGAAACACUUAAAAGGAUAAUCUGGGAUUGGAACAGUUCUCAUCACAGAAAAUCCUUCUUCCAAGCCUGGGCCUAGUUCUGUAUCAAGGUCAAAGAGCUGGAGAGAAGUCCUUUUUGCUGGAGUUUCAGUUUCAUCUCAUCUUUGCUCUGUGUCUCUGUGGGUACCAUCAGCCUUGGCCAGGACUCCUGGCUUCUGUGAACGUUCUCAUCUGCUGGGGGAAUCCAGCCUCUCCCAGAAAACAAAGUCAGCACCAACCCCAGCUGGACUCCCCGAACCAUCUGAGCGUCCCGUGCGGGAGCACUGCUCUCGCCAUCCGGAGCCUGGCGAACAGGCACAUUCUCUGCUCACCGCGGGCACACACGUUGGUGGUCACCAGCACCUUCUCUUUGCCCUCUCGGAAGCGCUCGAUCACCGCAGCCCUCUGCUCCACCAUCAUUUCGCCGCUCAGCAGAGCCACCUGGUGGCCUUCUUUGGAGAGCUCUGCUGCCAGCCAACUAGCCGUUUUGCGGGUCUGGAGUGAAAAGAAUGGUUUUAAAUGGAGAUACCUGUAAAAAUAAAAACAAAAACAAACCUGCAAAAAAGUGGCUUGUUUCCAUUAAAGUACGUGAAAGCCUGCUGAGUUCAGCCACCAGGGUAGGCUUACCAAUUUUACAAAGACAAUUUUAGCCAUGUGAAUUUUUUUUGGAUGAAUUACUUAAAUCAUCUUAGUGUUCAGCUAGGAAGAGUGUGGUAGGAGCCAAAUAUCUUCAUUCUCAAAUAGUCUAUAUUCUUAAUGUUAUAUAAUCAUUUCAUUGGAUGUUAUCUGGAGUUUUUCCCAAGGUAUGUCUAAGAGGUGGGACCAAAGAAAAGUUCAAUGCUUCACAGUCUUUCCCUCAUAACUCAUUAUAGUCUGAGGAGAAUAUGCCCUGGGGCAGGUGGAGGUGCUUCAUCAUCUCCUUUCUGGCCACACAGAGGACGCCCAGUCCUCCUCAGCACUGAGGUGGAGCUGGCUGAAGGGAGGGCCAGGCACACCCUCCAGUGGAGCUCCUCCCCCCGCAGGCCUGCUGCUGCCACUGCUACUCACGUGGCAGAAGAUCAUGGCCUGAGCAAUGGUGAUGGCCCCGUAGAGGUUACACAAGGCCUGGAACUUCUCAUCUCGGUUACUGCACAGGACGUAAUACUGCUUGAUGGUGUCCAACGUCUCCUCCUCACGCUUCAGUUUGAUAAUGUUUGGGUCUGGGACCACUUUCUGGGCAAAUUUCCAUACAGAGUCUUCAAAGGUGGCAGAGAAAA